rnacentral:rRNA from 1 species
UACGGGGGGAGCAAGCGUUGUUCGGAUUUACUGGGCGUAAAGGGCGCGUAGGCGGCCAGCACAAGUCAGUUGUGAAAUCUCCGAGCUUAACUCGGAAAGGUCAACUGAUACUGUGCGGCUAGAGUGCAGAAGGGGCAACUGGAAUUCUUGGUGUAGCGGUGAAAUGCGUAGAUAUCAAGAGGAACACCCGCGGCGAAGGCGGGUUGCUGGGCUGACACUGACGCUGAAGCGCGAAAGCCAGGGGAGCGAACGGG